rnacentral:rRNA from 1 species
UACGGAGGGGGCUAGCGUUGUUCGGAAUUACUGGGCGUAAAGCGCACGUAGGCGGCUUUGUAAGUUAGAGGUGAAAGCCCGGGGCUCAACUCCGGAAUUGCCUUUAAGACUGCAUCGCUCGAAUUGUGGAGAGGUAAGUGGAAUUCCGAGUGUAGAGGUGAAAUUCGUAGAUAUCAAGCGGAACACCGGUGGCGAAGGCGGCCUUCUGGACAGUGACUGACGCUGAGACGCGAAAGCGUGGGGAGCAAACAGG